rnacentral:lncRNA from 1 species
GGGCAUUUAAAUAAUUUUUUUUCCAUAUGGUAAUUGAUAUAAUCAAUUGGCAAUCAUACCACAUAUUCUUAUUCUUGUACUGAAAGUACAGUUUCCUGGCUACUGGGUUUUUGAUUUCAUAGGCGACUAACUGCUCACCAUUUACUAUACCAGUAUUGAAGUCGCGAAAAUGCACACUUCCUCUCUCAACACAUUGUCAAACUGAU